rnacentral:rRNA from 2 species
UACGAAGGGGGCUAGCGUUGUUCGGAUUUACUGGGCGUAAAGCGCACGUAGGCGGACUUUUAAGUCAGGGGUGAAAUCCCAGAGCUCAACUCUGGAACUGCCUUUGAUACUGGAAGUCUUGAGUAUGGAAGAGGUUGGUGGAACUGCGAGUGUAGAGGUGAAAUUCGUAGAUAUUCGCAAGAACACCAGUGGCGAAGGCGGCCAACUGGUCCAUUACUGACGCUGAGGUGCGAAAGCGUGGGGAGCAAACAGG